GGGAAGGUUGAGAACCACUGUACUAGAGAAAUCAUCUGAAGGGAGGAGCGAGAACCCAAAACUAGAGGGAGAUGGAAUCCACAAAGACAUGCUCUCGACACCUCCAGAACUAAGGAGCUAAGGAUGGUAUUGACAUCAGUCUUGUGCAAGUUAGAGAACCUUGAGCAAUACAGCACCAAAGAAGGAGAAGGAUAUUGCAUUAAAUGAAAGAACAACCAGGACACCUUAUAAGGCUAAACAAUCACAGGUGAUGCACUGGAAGGCAUGGCUGUGACACUGGUGGCAGUAGCAGUUCCCUGUCAAUCAUAUAAUCACCAGAGUAAACAUUGGACACUCUCCACUGCUCUGUACUGCUAAGCUGUGCUGUUCCAUAGGCCUCUGUCACUUGAUGGACCCUCUAUCUAGAAUGUUCUUCCACGGGAAAAAAAAAGAACAGCUUUCACUCAGUGGCUUCCUGCUGAGAACUCUCCAAUUGUCACUGCCUUGCUGGACACUCCAUUUACAAUUACAGCCCAAGCUCUUCCUGUUCUUCCUCCUUGCUCGAUGUUCCUCUAAGGUUCUUCAGCUGAUACAAUGUGGACUAGCUCAAUCCAUCUCCAGCAUCUGCAGCAACCAGCAUCAACUAUUACCCAUGUUCAUUCUUCCUACUUCUUGAUGGUUAUUUAAGUAAU